GACGAACGCUGGCGGCGUGCUUAACACAUGCAAGUCGAACGGAAAGGCCCCUUUGGGGGUACUCGAGUGGCGAACGGGUGAGUAACACGUGAGUAACCUGCCCUUGCCUUCGGGAUAACUUCAGGAAACUGGGGCUAAUACCGGAUAGGAAUCCUUGCUGCAUGGUGGGGGUUCGAAAGCUUCGGCGGUUUUGGAUGGACUCGCGGGUUAUCAGCUUGUUGGUGGGGUAGUGGCUUACCAAGGCUUUGACGGGUAGCCGGCCUGAGGGAGCGACCGGCCACAUUGGGACUGAGAUACGGCCCAGAGUCCGACGGGAUGCAGCAGGGGGGAAUAUUGCACAAUGGGCGGAAGCCUGAUGCAGCAACGCCGCGGGCGGGAUGACGGCCUUCGGGUUGUAAGCCGAGUUCAGCAGGGGCGAAGCUUGUGGUGACGGUACCUGCAGAAGAAGCACCGGCUAACUACGUG
rnacentral:rRNA from 1 species